ACCCAUAUGGUUAGAGACCAUGUAUGUGUGCAGUCAAACUACAAUAACCUCACUGUGAGUAGCCGAGGCACCGCAAGUCAAAGGACCAGUCACACUACUGCAACAUCAAGCAAGUCACUGACGAGUGGAUAGACAUCCAAGUGACUUCUUGUCUUGGUCACGCUCAGUACCCUUGUUCUCUAACAAGCACCUGCACUAUCACUUCAGUGUCCCUACACUGUGGACUCAAGUCUCAUCCAUCCAGAAGGAAAGUGAUCUGUGCACUGAUCGGAUCGAUCAUCGUCCUCGUGAUGAUCCAUUGAUCAGGAGCAUUUAGAAAUUAAUCACAAAUGAUACAUGGCUCAAAUUCUCAACUCUU
rnacentral:lncRNA from 1 species